rnacentral:rRNA from 1 species
GACGAACGCUGGCGGCGUGCUUAACACAUGCAAGUCGAACGGAAAGGCCCUGCUUUUGUGGGGUGCUCGAGUGGCGAACGGGUGAGUAACACGUGAGUAACCUGCCCUUGACUUUGGGAUAACUUCAGGAAACUGGGGCUAAUACCGGAUAGGAGCUCCUGCUGCAUGGUGGGGGUUGGAAAGUUUCGGCGGUUGGGGAUGGACUCGCGGCUUAUCAGCUUGUUGGUGGGGUAGUGGCUUACCAAGGCGUUGACGGGUAGCCGGCCUGAGAGGGUGACCGGCCACAUUGGGACUGAGAUACGGCCCAGACUCCUACGGGAGGCAGCAGUGGGGAAUAUUGCACAAUGGGCGGAGGCCUGAUGCAGCAACGCCGCGUGCGGGAUGACGGCCUUCGGGUUGUAAACCGCUUUCGCCUGUGACGAAGCGUGAGUGACGGUAAUGGGUAAAGAAGCACCGGCUAACUACGUG